rnacentral:rRNA from 1 species
CUUCAGCGGGAGGACCAUAUAACGAGUUUGUAAACCGUACGGCUUGAUGCUGGUGUAAGUCUUGGUUACUUACGCAUGUGCACGGCUUGUCGUACUCAAUCCUCUUAACCCCUGUGCACCUAAUGGGAGUUAGUAGUCGGUGUUGUUAGUUAUGAGUGUUAGUAGUCCGAUCUCUGUUGGUUGGGUGAAAGCGCGCGUAUAUACACCGUCGAACGCUUCAAUUUAUUAUCAACGAUUACUUGUAAUGUGGAAUGUAAUGCUCCUUGUGAGCGAAAGUUACAACUUUCAACAACGGAUCUCUUGGCUCUCGCAUCGAUGAAGAACGCAGCGAAAUGCGAUAAGUAAUGUGAAUUGCAGAAUUCAGUGAAUCAUCGAAUCUUUGAACGCACCUUGCGCCCCUUGGCAUUCCGAGGGGCAUGCCUGCUUUGAGUGUCAUGUUAAUCUCAACUCCCCUUGUUUUUGUUAACUCGGGGUGUUGGACUUGGAGGUUCAUGCUGGCUCUACUUUUUGGUCAACCGGUUCUUUAAAGGUAUUAAGCUGGCCUUUGGCUCGCGUUAACCGGUGUGAUAGUAAUCUUACUUUCAUCGGCCGCUUGCCUAACAGGUACUGUUUCUAAACGUGCCCCUUGAAGGGACAAGGUCCGUUAAGUGACCCUUACAUGACUUACUUGACCCAGUCCCAACUAAAAAGGGUCCCCCCGAACUUACCUGAAAAC